GAUGAACGCUAGCUACAGGCUUAACACAUGCAAGUCGAGGGGCAGCAUGAUCAAAGCUUGCUUUGAUUGAUGGCGACCGGCGCACGGGUGAGUAACGCGUAUCCAACCUUCCCCAUAGUAGAGAAUAGCCCGGCGAAAGUCGGAUUAAUGCCCUAUGUUGUAUUAUGAGGACAUCUGAGUAAUACCAAAGAUUUAUCGCUAUGGGAUGGGGAUGCGUCUGAUUAGGUAGUAGGCGGGGUAACGGCCCACCGGGGCAUCGAUCGGUAGGGGUUCUGAGAGGAAGGUCCCCCACACUGGUACUGAGACACGGACCAGACUCC
rnacentral:rRNA from 1 species